CAAAGCGCUAGGGGGUGGGUGGGAGUUGUGUAGGGAGUUAGAAAAGUUGCCGAACUCCUAAAGUUCGCAGUUUCCCAGGCAGAUCUGCUUCGGUAGUAUUUAGGCGUCAUCCGCACUACUCUUCAAAUUUCAAAGUAAUGCAAUCAGGAGAUCUGGGGAGGCGCGAAGUGGGCUGGAGACCCACUUGGAAUGAUUUGCAAUCCACGAGGAACUUCGCUCAGAUGCAAACAAAAGGAACCCAGCAACUUUCUCCAAACAGCAACUCCCUUCCCCGCCUCCUUCUUUCCCCGGGCAGGACAUUACAACAAACCUAACUUCCCAAAGGAAACAACCCCAGGCAAAUAUGACACCCGAGCAAGUGACAAGCGUUAGAGGCAGGAGGGCAAAUCUGACUGGGGCUGGAUAGCUCGGUUCAGGCGCCUUGCGAGAGGCUGCUGGAGACUCCGAAGAUCCCGAACUGGGCCGUGCAGGAGAGUAACGGAACGGAUUGCAGAUCUGCGGCCGCUGCAGCUAGCGCGGUGCGCAAUGUGGAUUCCUUAAAGCUGUUAAGUUCUCCAUCAAAGCGCGAUGCAACGUACGGGAGGGAAAGUUAGAGGCUUAGGUGCAAUGCAUCUCUCCAGACCUCCGGUUCCGACGAGGACCGGAGCACACGUUGCGUACAGCGUACGGGCAAAGGCUGAACCCCAAAGCUGCCGAACACAUUACACGUUAUACCCAACACAAAAGUGCUCGAGGACUUUAUAGAGAAAAAGCAAUGCAGCUCCAGCAGUCCGGGAGGCGCGGAAAAGAAUACACGCAGCACGCAAUUACUUAAUGCUACACUUUAAAAACAACACACAAAGCAUCUAAUUGUAUCUGGGUUGCGUUUGUUCCACGUUCGUCCGCUUCGGAAGCACAAACAGGACAGCGAUGCAGAGGGAACAACACACAACACGGAUGGAAAGUCAAGAAGCCACACAAGACAAGACACCGACGGAACACCAAUUGCCAACACACAGAAAACGCAGCUUCGGGGGUACAGAACCAAAUCCUCGCCGAUCUCCAGCGCUUGUUCUGUGGCGGGCAGAAAGAAGCCGAGAGGAAAAAGCAACAACAACAACAACAGCAAUCCACUCCGAGGCUUUUUCAGCAGCUCCGGUUGCGGCACAGCUGUGCAGUAGCGACGCGGCUGAGUGGACCAUUUUGGAACUCAAAAGUGUGACAUCAAGUCAGAACUCUACCUUGAGCAAAUACAUAAGCUGAACAUCUGGGCCUACAUCAAAAAAAAAUCUGCUUUUAUAAACUAUCAUAAGAUUCAAAUGUCCAAAGCAGAUGGAAAUUAUUUUUUAAAAAAACAGAAGAAAAGGACCCUUCUCUAAUUUACAGACAGCCAGGAACCUCCAGCUGAUUUUUCCACAUUACCUAUGCAUUGAGCAUUGUAAUGAAGCCUAAAGGUAGAACAUAUGCAAAAUUGUAUUUCAGUCUCUUUGCUGGCUUCACUUAUUCUUGUCAAGUUCAGUGCACGAGUCAAGAUUCAAGUACAGUAGAUGCAAUUAAAAAUGCCAGAGGUACCAAGGCAAGAGAAACAGAGUAGACUAGAUCCAUAUUCAUCUUGAUCCAGGAUUUAAUUCUAUCAGUUUAUUGUCUUCACUGAAAUGAACCAUUUUUAGGUAAUAGUAGUUUCAAAAUUAUUUUUAAAUAGUAAAUCUGAAUGGUCUCACUAGAUGAAAUAGGAAUAAUUUCUAUAUAAGCAAGCACAAUAUUGCCGUUUCAAACAAACUCCUCCAAAUCUAAAAUGUAAAGACAACCUUUUAAUUUCUUUCUAAUAUAAAGAGGUAUUUUUCUCUGAGCACAAAAUAUAACCAAGAUGUCUUUUGCACUGUAAUCAGUCUCUUUCAAGCACAUCUGUACAUAAGGAAUACUCAGUUGGGUAGAUACAACAUUCAGUUCCAAUUUUAUCUUCUUUAUAUUGUGGUAGGUUUGUACCAAUUUUUUCUAAAUAAUCAAUGCAAAUUAUAUGUACGUUUUAAUGGUUCAUUUUUAUUUUAUAAUGUAAUUGAUCUUUCACAUGGUUUUUGUGAUAUGUGAGAUGCAAAUGUAUAUAUACAAUAAACAAAUAUGCUGGAAUAGUUUUUUUUUUACUGUUUCUAGGAUUAAUUUUUGUCUGUUUAAAUGCCCAAUGGCAACUUUCAUUUAAACAAAAUC